GACGAACGCUGGCGGCGUGCCUAAUACAUGCAAGUUGAGCGCUGAAGGUUGGUACUUGUACCAACUGGAUGAGCAGCGAACGGGUGAGUAACGCGUGGGGAAUCUGCCUUUGAGCGGGGGACAACAUUUGGAAACGAAUGCUAAUACCGCAUAAAAACUUUAAACACAAGUUUUAAGUUUGAAAGAUGCAAUUGCAUCACUCAAAGAUGAUCCCGCGUUGUAUUAGCUAGUUGGUGAGGUAAAGGCUCACCAAGGCGAUGAUACAUAGCCGACCUGAGAGGGUGAUAGGCAAAAUUGGGACUGAGACACGGCCCAAACUCCUAAGGGAGGCAGCAGUAGGGAAUCUUCGGCAAUGGACGAAAGUCUGACCGAGAAACGCCGCGUGAGUGAAGAAGGUUUUCGGAUCGUAAAACUCUGUUGGUAGAGAAGAACGUGGUGAGAGUGGAAAGCUCAUCAAGUGACGGUAACUACCCAGAAAGGGACGGCUAACUACGUG
rnacentral:rRNA from 1 species